AUCACUUGUUUUGUUAGACUCCUGUUUGCCAAGUCGAAACAGUCAGAAAUCAUAAAAAAUAAUCCACAGAAUCUGUCUGAAAAUGCAGUUUUCUAAUGUUAUUUUUCUUGGUUUGCAGCAGCAAGUCCUUCAUUCUGCCAUCAAAAUUUUGCAAUGGAGAGCAUGACUUCCUCUUCUCGUAAGAUCACCUCUAGCGCCUCGCUGCUGCUGCUGCCCAGCAUCUUCUCCCUUUGAAGCUUUGCUCCUUGGACCACCUGGGAGUUCUUUUUCCACCCUGGAGAUGGACAGACAAUACAGGCCACCACGUGGCAAUGUUCUGCACUGCUACAUGGAAGCUCUAGAGUAACAGAGAACAAAAGUAAUUUUCAUCUAAACUACUUGAAACAAAAUCAAGAGUGUUCAAGCAAACAGAAAGCCAUGCCUUCAGUGUUGGGGAAAACAUGUUUUCAUUAAAAAGUCAUUUCAAAAGAAAAGAGGCUG